rnacentral:sRNA from 1 species
CUGAUAUUAAAUUCCUUCCACCUUCAGUUGGACCUCAGAUUGAAAUUUAUAAUCAAUUAGACCGGAUGGUGUAAAUUCGGAUACAAACAUAUGGUCUAAUGUUGGACUACAACUACUACUAGGGUAACGUUUGAAGAUGCUGGAUGAACUGGAAGAUGCUUCUUUGUCCUACCGUCGUGGUUUGAAGGAUCGUAUGCAGAAUACCAUGACGAGCUUGUUUCUCCGACAGGCGGCGGUUGAGGGAAGAGACGGAUGAGGGAUAUGAAGGAACCUCCCCUUCCUCGCCGUGCCUUCCCUUCCCUUCUCGCUCUACCACUACCUUAUCCUCCGCCACAUUGUAUAAAUUCCAUCUGUCUUUUUUAUCCCAAGAAAUCAAUAGCAUUUGGCGCAAUGGAUUUUUAUAUAUAUCCUUUACAGCCCAACGCCAUGGCUUGCAAACAAAGCUAAAUUCUACUGGUGACUCUAAUCUCUCUACAACUAAAUAUAAAAGCUCCUUAGGCAAAUUUGCCCAAUCUCUCGUCAUAGUU